rnacentral:rRNA from 1 species
UUCCCUUCGGGGGACUAGUACAGCGGCGAAAGGGUGAGUAAUGCAUGGGUAACGUACCCCGUACACAGGGAUAGCUGCGGGAAACUGCAGGUAAUACCUGAUGACACCGCGGUGUCGAUGGACACAGCGGUCAAAGGGUGGGGCCUCUUCGGAGACCUGUCGGUACGGGAGCGGCCCAUGUCCUAUCAGCUAGUUGGUGAGGUAACGGCCCACCAAGGCGACGACGGGUAGCGGGACUGAGAGGUCGGCCCGCCACACUGGGACUGAGACACUGCCCAGACUCCUACGGGAGGCUGCAGUCGAGAAUCUUCCCCAAUGGGCGAAAGCCUGAGGGAGCGACGCCGCGUGCAGGAAGACGCUUUUCGGAGUGUAAACUGCCGUCAGGGGUCACCAAGCAAUGGAGGCGAAUAACCUCCAGAGUUGAGGAGCCCCAGAGGAAGCCACGGCUAACUUCGUGCCAGCAGCCGCGGUAAGACGAAGGUGGCAAGCGUUGUUCGGAAUCACUGGGCUUAAAGAGCACGUAGGCGGCUCAUCAAGUGUCUUGUGAAAUCCCACGGCUCAACCGAGGAAUUGCUGGGCAAACUGAUGGGCUUGAGGCAGGUAGGGGCGAGUGGAACUCUUGGUGGAGCGGUGGAAUGCGUAGAUUUCAAGAGGUACCCCGGAGGUGAAGACGAUUCGCUGGCCUGUCCUGACGCUGAGGUGCGAAAGCCAGGGAGCAACGGGAUUAGAUACCCCGGUAGUCUGGCCCUAAACGAUGUCCUCUAGUUGAGCCCUCUGACGUGUUUCCGGCGAACGAAGCGAUAGUGGACGCCCUGGGGAGUACGGUCGCAAGGCUAAAACUCAAAGGAAUUGACGGGUGCUCACACAAGCGGUGGAGCAUGUUGCUCAAUUCGAUGCAACGCGAAGAACCUUAUCCUGGGCUUGACAUGCUUGGAUACCUGCCUGGAAACAGGUUAGGUUGUCCUUCGGGGUGAAACUUGCACAGGUGCUGCAUGGCUGUCGUCAGCUCGUGUCGUGAGAUGUCGGGUUAAGUCCCUUAACGAGCGAAACCCUUGUCGCUAAUUGCCAGCGGGUUAUGCCGGGAACCUUAGCGAGACUGCCGGUGUUAAACCGGAGGAAGGUGGGGAUGACGUCAAGUCCUCAUGGCCUUUAUGCCCAGGGCUGCAAACGUGCUACAAUGGCGCGCACAAACCGACGCAAUACCGCGAGGUGGAGCAAAUCGGAAAAAACGCGCCCCAGUUCGGAUUGGAGUCUGCAACUCGACUCCAUGAAGUUGGAAUCGCUAGUAAUCGCGGAUCAGCUACGCCGCGGUGAAUGUGUUCCUGAGCAUUGUACACACCGCCCGUCAGGUCAUGGAAGCUGGGAGCGCCCGAAG